rnacentral:rRNA from 1 species
ACGAACGCUGGCGGCUUGCCUAAUACAUGCAAGUUGAGCGAUGAAGAUUGGUGCUUGCACCACUUUGAAGAGCAGCGAACGGGUGAGUAACGCGUGGGGAAUCUGCCUUUGAGCGGGGGACAACAUUUGGAAACGAAUGCUAAUACCGCAUAACAACUUUAAACAUAAGUUUUAAGUUUGAAAGAUGCAAUUGCAUCACUCAAAGAUGAUCCCGCGUUGUAUUAGCUAGUUGGUGAGGUAAAGGCUCACCAAGGCGAUGAUACAUAGCCGACCUGAGAGGGUGAUCGGCCACAUUGGGACUGAGACACGGCCCAAACUCCUACGGGAGGCAGCAGUAGGGAAUCUUCGGCAAUGGACGAAAGUCUGACCGAGCAACGCCGCGUGAGUGAAGAAGGGUUUCGGAUCGUAAAACUCUGUUGGUAGAGAAGAACGUUGGUGAGAGUGGAAAGCUCAUCAAGUGACGGUAACUACCCAGAAAGGGGCGGCUAACUACGUG